ACAAAGAAUUGUCCCUCAAUAAGGUCAAAGGUGACAAAGAUGGCGGCGGCCUGAGAGUUAGUGUUGUGAGACAUCAACAGACUAGAACUAGUCAGAGAUGGUGACUUAGAAGUUGGGAAUACCAUUCAUAUUUGGUGUAUCCGCUUCUGCAUGAUGUCCUUGUUAUCAGAUGACCUGAAUAGCUUUGCGCAAGGCUGGAAUGACAGAAGGAAGCUGCCUGGUCACGGUGCACCUGCUGGCCGUCCAAAUGCACUUUAUUUCCUGCCACACCUUUCAGGGGGCCGAAAACCUACUACAAGACGUGGAUGCGAGGAUGCUCCACCAUGCACAGCGAGAGUGCACAUCACCCUCACUUGUUGGGAAUGACAGAUUUCAUCGCUACUUAUGUGAUAUGUUGCAAAGGUUAAAUAAGAGGUAUCCCACAAAUUGCGAUGAUGCAUCUUUCUUAUGCGCUUUGAUCAUCCUGCAUUAUACAAACACAUCUCAAAUUAUAUUUUUAACAUUACAAAGAAACGAGAAAAAGCCGAACCAUUGUAUUAGAGUAGUUUUAAAGCUGUUUGUAAGACAAACAUGUAUAUUACCUAUUUCAUCUGUUCACCUGUACUUAGCCCGAUAGGGCAUGAAUGUACAAUAAAGGUUAUUAUUAACACUGUACCGAGAGCUGGUGGCAAUUGCAAAUUAAUAUACAUCAAACCUGUACACAGAACACCUAGUUUAUGUGUCCACUUAAUUGGUGGUCCUUUGGUGAUUUAUUUAUUGUAACAGAUGUAGAGGAACUGAUCUUCUCACACACUUAACUUGUAAUAUUAUGUCAUCACAAGACUUAACCAGCAACAAGAACUCUUAACCAGCAACAAGAACUCCACAACUUGUAAUGUAAAUUGAUAGAAUAUUCGGCUUUACCUGCAACAAGAACUCUGGCAGUCUACUGCAACACUAAGAAAUAUGCUUUUCCACACAUACUAAUGGCAGUUAACAUUGUUUAUGGAGAAAGUACAUGUACAUCAUCAUAUUACAUCAUCACAGUAUUCAUGAGAACAGUACAAUGUAAGUUUGUUAUGCUUUUAGAAACAAGUAAUAGUAACAGUAUUUUUAAUUCUGUGUUUGAUAUACCAUAUCCACAACUGUACACUAGGAUUGCUAUACUGUUAGUUGUAAGACGCUAGACUUGCGUGCAUUGCCAACUAGUCACAGUGAUACUGCAUAUAUUUUUGGGAUGCUUUCCUGAUUUUCAUAACAUUAACAUCACAUAGAAUCACAUACUGGUACUGUCAUGAUCUGUUUGACAACAACUUGACAUGAAGGACCUAUCAACAUUAUUCAGAAAGUGCUUUAUUUAAUACCCUAUCUAAUGUGCAACUACUUACAGUGAUACUACACAUACAAUUUUUGAGAUGCUUUCAUGACUUUCAUUAGAAACACCACUUACAAUCACAAACUGGUACCGUCAUGAUUUGUUUGAUGACAACUUCACAUGAAGAAACUUCAUGUGAUGUACUGUGUACAUAGCUUUUCUGUAGUACAGUAUGGGAUCAGGGGGAAGGGUCACAUGGAUAAACUAUAAAUCAUUGAUUACUGAUUGAAUACUUUUAUACGAGAUACAAAUGUACAGGAAAUGUUACAGGUGAGUACAUGACUAUUGAAAUUUGGAUUUAAAUGGGAAGUGUUGUGCUAUACACUUGAUAACUCGUACCCGGAUGGCCUCCCUCACUUCUGCAUUGGAGCUGGUGCCAAGACGCCUUCAUAGCCCAAGCUUGUUGUACCUGUACUUUAGCUGCCGCACACUGUAUACAAUAAAUAAAUAAAUUGGUUUGUUGACAGCACAAUUGCCUAGUUUGUUCCCCUUGAAAUAAGAUU